CCAUUAUCCUUAAGAUAUCCUAAAAAAUUUCGACUAAGAUAUUCAUCUCCUCGAUCAGAUUAAAGAACCUUAAUGGAUUUGCUUGUUUAUUUUUGUACUUCAUUUUUUGAAUUUUUUAAACUUUUUAAAGGCUUCAAACUUAUGUUUCAUCAAAUACACAUAUCUAUAUCAUGAUUGAUCAUGGAAAAGAUGAUGAAAUAACUAUAACUAUCUCUGACCUA
rnacentral:lncRNA from 1 species